rnacentral:rRNA from 2 species
GUGGUGCAUGGUUGUCGUCAGCUCGUGUCGUGAGAUGUUGGGUUAAGUCCCGCAACGAGCGCAACCCUUAAGCUUAGUUGCCAUCAUUAAGUUGGGCACUCUAAGUUGACUGCCGGUGACAAACCGGAGGAAGGUGGGGAUGACGUCAAAUCAUCAUGCCCCUUAUGAUUUGGGCUACACACGUGCUACAAUGGACAAUACAAAGGGCAGCGAAACCGCGAGGUCAAGCAAAUCCCAUAAAGUUGUUCUCAGUUCGGAUUGUAGUCUGCAACUCGACUACAUGAAGCUGGAAUCGCUAGUAAUCGUAGAUCAGCAUGCUACGGUGAAUACGUUCCCGGGUCUUGUACACACCGCCCGUCACACCACGAGAGUUUGUAACACCCGAAGCCGGUGGAGUAACCUUUUAGGAGCUAGCCGUCGAAGGUGGGACAAAUGAUUGGGGUGAAGUCGUAACAAGGUAGCCGUAUCGGAAGGUGCGGCUGGAUCACCUCCUUU